rnacentral:misc_RNA from 1 species
UUCUGAUAUGAGUUUAACGGAUAUACAAAUAUGAAAGUUUUUCUUAUAUUCUUAUUAUUUAUAUUUCUCGAUUUUACUACAUGUUACCAUAAAGAUGUAAUUCAAAUUUUAAAACCAGUAUUGACGGAUUUCACUGAUGAUCCUGCAGUAACGAUUAUAAAAUUCAAUAAGGGAUAUACAGAAGAAAAAGGAACUGAUGGAUUGUUAAGAAAAAGAAUUCCUGAUUACAUUAAUAAUCUCUAUUAUAAUGAAUUGAACAAACGUGGGAAAUCAAUUUAUUCCAAAUGGAUAUACAAUCUUAGAGAUGUAAUUAUUUUAUUAAGAGAUAGAUUUGACGUGGAAUUAGUAGUAAAUUAGUGCAUUAUUACAUUACAAUUAUUAUAUUAUUACAAUAA